rnacentral:rRNA from 1 species
GAUGAACGCUAGCUACAGCUUAACACAUGCAAGUCGAGGGGCAGCAUGGUCUUAGCUUGCUAAGGCCGAUGGCGACCGGCGCACGGGUGAGUAACACGUAUCCAACCUGCCGUCUACUCUUGGACAGCCUUCUGAAAGGAAGAUUAAUACAAGAUGGCAUCAUGAGUCCGCAUGUUCACAUGAUUAAAGGUAUUCCGGUAGACGAUGGGGAUGCGUUCCAUUAGAUAGUAGGCGGGGUAACGGCCCACCUAGUCUUCGAUGGAUAGGGGUUCUGAGAGGAAGGUCCCCCACAUUGGAACUGAGACACGGUCCAAACUCCUACGGGAGGCAGCAGUGAGGAAUAUUGGUCAAUGGGCGAGAGCCUGAACCAGCCAAGUAGCGUGAAGGAUGACUGCCCUAUGGGUUGUAAACUUCUUUUAUAAAGGAAUAAAGUCGGGUAUGGAUACCCGUUUGCAUGUACUUUAUGAAUAAGGAUCGGCUAACUCCGUGCCAGCAGCCGCGGUAAUACGGAGGAUCCGAGCGUUAUCCGGAUUUAUUGGGUUUAAAGGGAGCGUAGAUGGAUGUUUAAGUCAGUUGUGAAAGUUUGCGGCUCAACCGUAAAAUUGCAGUUGAUACUGGAUAUCUUGAGUGCAGUUGAGGCAGGCGGAAUUCGUGGUGUAGCGGUGAAAUGCUUAGAUAUCACGAAGAACUCCGAUUGCGAAGGCAGCCUGCUAAGCUGCAACUGACAUUGAGGCUCGAA